AUUGAACGCUGGCGGCAUGCUUUACACAUGCAAGUCGAACGGCAGCGCGGGCUUCGGCUUGGCGGCGAGUGGCGAACGGGUGAGUAAUACAUCGGAACGUGCCCAGUAGUGGGGGAUAGCUCGGCGAAAGCCGGAUUAAUACCGCAUACGACCUGAGGGUGAAAGCGGGGGAUCUUCGGACUUCGCGCUAUUGUAGCGGCCGAUGGCAGAUUAGCUAGUUGGUGGGGUAAAGGCCUACCAAGGCGACGUUCUGUAGCUGGUCUGAGAGGACGACCAGCCACACUGGGACUGAGACACGGCCCAGACUCCUACGGGAGGCAGCAGUGGGGAAUUUUGGACAAUGGGCGAAAGCCUGAUCCAGCAAUGCCGCGUGUGUGAUGAAGGCCUUCGGGUUGUAAAGCACUUUUGGCGGGAACGAAAAGGACUGUGCCAAUACCACGGUUCGAUGACGGUACCCGCAGAAUAAGCACCGGCUAACUACGUG
rnacentral:rRNA from 1 species